ensembl:lncRNA
CUUAUGUUUCUAAAUGACACAACCAUAAAGCAGCCCACAGAAUAUACAAAUAUGUGCUUGAUAAGUGAAUGUUGGCUCCCACAAUGGCCUGUUAAGUUAUUGCAAAAAUAAUUUACUGCAUAAUAUGUCAGAUUAGAACAUGUUAUAAGCACAAAACUGAAGGGGAAACAAUAAAACAAAAAUUAAAAAACAAAUACUAAAUUAAGUUAAAGGAUAUUUCUUACUAUACUAUAUAAUUGUAUAAUGUUGCGUUUGAUUGCAAAUGAAAACCCACCAAGAAAAAAAAGAAAGAAAGAAAAGAGAGAAUAGAGUUUAAUUUAUUCAAAACACAUUCUUUUCUUUUAUUUAAGCUGUAGCGAGAUUCAAAUGGACAAAAGAGAAAGAAAAAUAUUACAGAUUUGUUUUAUUAAUCAUGAAUAAACUUUAUUAUACACAACUCUAAAUUUCAGUUGGUCUUAGUCAGAUGUGUUUUUAAUUAAAUCCUGCAACACUGUGCUCGCUGCCAUCACUUUAUAUCUUAGUGUGCAAUUCAAAUAUAUACUUAUUACAAUAUUUUUCCCCCUUAACUCUCAACUCGCGUUUUUAAAAUGUCUGUGAUCAUAUUUGUCCGUUGACUUCUGUCUGGGCCUCGAACGAUUCAUCAGACAGGUUGGCAGCCUCCAACUGAUGCUCCAGACUUUCAUCAUCGCCUCUAUUCUGAUCAACUCUUAUCUUAAACUUAGUGAUGAACUCAUUACUGGCCAGCGCGCCCUCCUUUUUAGGGCAUGUGGGCUUUGAUAACAGCCGGCUGUCCAGUCGCUUCUGCAAAGAAAAUUAAGCAAAACAUUUCUUAUUUGGUAAGCUUGUUAACAAAUUUUAGUUCAGUUUUGCUGAAAGUUAUAGCAUGCAUCAGGUAAGAAGCAAUUGGUUUUUAAAAAGCAUAUACAUUCCCCAAAACAUUUUUAUUAUGUGCAUUUUGGAGAAUAAAAGAUUGUACACAAUUUCCCUUUUUAAAGUAAAAAGAUUAUUAAGUCUAAUUCUUACUUAUUCAGUAGAUUUCAUGCCUGAUUUCAAAACACCAAGAUGGCAGUCGUGAAAACACUCAUCUUGAGUCUUCAUGGGACUACGAAGUCUGUGCUGCAAAGAGGCAAAGUGAAUACGGCACCUGCAGGAGUAAUGGGGGUCAUCAGUCGGUUCAGCUGGAUGUUCCAGUGCCGUACAUGUUGACUGGCAUUCCUCAGCCUCUCCUGAACCUCCUGGAAACAAAAAUCAUGCAGGCAUCCUCAUCAGUGUUGUUUUAGAAGAGCACUAAAUAAGAUGCUGCUCACAAAGCCAGUCAAAACAAACUUGUUCACCUCCAGACGCUGGUGGCUUCUUUGGCGAGAUGCCUGCAGAUCCUGGAGCUCCUGAGAGGCAGAGUUGAG